AUUGAACGCUGGCGGCAGGCCUAACACAUGCAAGUCGAGCGGAUGAAGGGAGCUUGCUCCUGGAUUCAGCGGCGGACGGGUGAGUAAUGCCUAGGAAUCUGCCUGGUAGUGGGGGAUAACGUCCGGAAACGGGCGCUAAUACCGCAUAUGUCCUGAGGGGGAAAGUGGGGGAUCUUCGGACCUCACGCUAUCAGAUGAGCCUAGGUCGGAUUAGCUAGUUGGUGGGGUAAAGGCCUACCAAGGCGACGAUCCGUAACUGGUCUGAGAGGAUGAUCAGUCACACUGGAACUGAGACACGGUCCAGACUCCUACGGGAGGCAGCAGUGGGGAAUAUUGGACAAUGGGCGAAAGCCUGAUCCAGCCAUGCCGCGUGUGUGAAGAAGGUCUUCGGAUUGUAAAGCACUUUAAGUUGGGAGGAAGGGCAGUAAGUUAAUACCUUGCUGUUUUGACGUUACCAACAGAAUAAGCACCGGCUAACUUCGUG
rnacentral:rRNA from 1 species